rnacentral:misc_RNA from 1 species
AAAGAAGCUCGGCUCAAACAUGCUUCCAAAUGGAUUUCUGAAGAAAGGAUCAUCAAAUGGAUCCCUUCCACCAAAGAAACCAGAAAUUAAGCUUCUUUGACCCGGAAAGCCUCCAAACCCACCAAAGGGGUCGCCGAAAUCAAAAAAAUCAUCCCUGCCCCCUCUGCUCCUUCUAUGCAUCGUUACAGUUCAAAAAAAUAAUACCCUUCAGCGAACAAGAUACGGAGG